CUCAGACCCUUAAAUACAGGCCAAACGGGGCGGAGUCUCGGCCGGAGGGCGGAGCGGAUAGGGGCCGGGGCCCAGGGGAGGCGGGGCCUGGUGAGGGCGGGAAGUGACUAGGACACUGGCUCCCGCUGGUCUGAGAGUCCGCCUCACCGGUACAGGGAGCGGCGAAGGAGGCAGUACCUGCGGGGGCGAAACCAGGUCUCAGGACUGGACCCUUCCUUGAGGGGCGGGGUCUGCGGCCGAGCGGAAGAAUGGUGAAUCCAAACCGCGGUAGAAUCUGAUCGUCAGAUGGUCCUGGGCGAAGUGCCGCCGGUGCCGAGGUUGAGAAUACAUAAACUUAAAAAAAAUUAAAAGCGUCUUCUGGAGGAGCAGUUCCAGCAGGGCAAGCUUCUUGCAUGCAUCGCUUCAAGACCAGGCCAGUGUGGCGAAGCAGAUGGCUAUGUGCUGGAGGGCAAGGAGCUAGAGUUCUAUCUGAGGAAAAUCAAAGCCUGGAAAGUCAGGUGAUGAUAAAACAAUGUGAUCGGCUAUAAAAACUCUGUACCCGGGCUGUUCGCGGCUGCACUCUUACCAAGAGUGUUGGUCCCGAUCGGUCCGCCUUGCCUCUCAUUGUAAUAAACUUUGUUGUGACUGUCACUGGUGCCCGUAGCAUUCUGUUUCAGGAGUCGUGUGGAUGCAACAACCUGAGCUGAAAUCAAGAUUUGGACACUCAAGCUCAAUGGACUGAGCCAUCCAGGCUGUCACUCCUGUGAGUCUGUGAGUUGGCACCACCGACUGCCCUGGAUUAUCCAGGCUGGCCCAGCAUAUAACUGAUGAGUCCCUGAAGGCAGAGCACUUCCCUGGCUGGUGGCAGCUAGGCCAUUGGGGAGAUUAGAAACUGGCUGUGAAGAUGGGAGCCUUGUGCAAGGACUGAACAGCAGCUGCAGGGAGCCUGGAGCGGCCUCGGCUGACAGGAAGGAGGACCUCAGUCCUGCAAGUUCCCUGCGGGAACUGAGUCCAGCCAACAACCGGAAUGAGCUUGGAAGAGGACCACCCGCCCUGAGCGCCAGGUGAGAUUACAGCGGGUAGAGACUUUGACUCAGCCUCCUGUAAAGCACUGAGCAGAGAAGCCCACUGCGCCAUCCUGUGACACUUCUGACACGUGAGAGAAGAAAUGGACGCUGUUUUCAGGCACGAGGUAGAAAACAAACACGUGGGGCGCCUGGGUGGCUCACUGGGUUAAGCAUCGGACUUCAGCUCGGGUGCUGACAGCUCAGAGCCUGGAGCCUGCUUCGGAUUCUGUCUCCCUCUCUCUCUGCCCCUCCCCUACUCAUGCAUGCGCGCGCGCUCUCUCUCUCAAAAAUAAAUAAACAUAAAGGAAAAAAGAAAAUGAACCUGUCAGGUUUCUGGAUACAUUCACUGAAUUAAAAAUCAGUGGAGGGCAGGAGAGGCUGGCAGAGAAAAAGGCCUGUCAGAUUGUUGAGAGGAUCAGGAAAGUGUUAGAAAGUAUUUCUUUCCUUUUUUUUUAAGUUUAUUUAUUCUGAGAGAGAGAGAGCCCACGCGAGCAGGGAAGGAGCAGAGAGAGAGAGAGG